rnacentral:rRNA from 1 species
UACGGGGGGGGUAAGCGUUGUUCGGAAUUACUGGGCGUAAAGGGCUCGUAGGCGGCCAACUAAGUCAGACGUGAAAUCCCUCAGCUUAACUGGGGAACUGCGUCUGAUACUGGAUGGCUUGGAUUUGGGAGAGGGAUGCGGAAUUCCAGGUGUAGCGGUGAAAUGCGUAGAUAUCUGGAGGAACAUCGGUGGCGAAGGCGGCAUCCUGGACCGGUAUUGACGCUGAGGCGCGAAAGCCAGGGGAGCGAACGGG